rnacentral:rRNA from 1 species
GUACGUAGGGGGCGAGCGUUGUCCGGAAUGACUGGGCGUAAAGGGUACGUAGGCGGCCAGAUAAGUCAGAUGUGAAAGGCAUGGGCUUAACCCGUGUUAGCAUUUGAAACUGUGUGGCUUGAGUUAAGGAGAGGAAAGUGGAAUUCCUGGUGUAGCGGUGAAAUGCGUAGAUAUCAGGAGGAAUACCAGUGGCGAAGGCGACUUUCUGGACUUAACCUGACGCUGAGGUACGAAAGCGUGGGGAGCAAACAGGAUUAGAUACCCUGGUAGUCCACGCCGUAAACGAUGAGUGCUAGGUGUCGGGGGUCGAACCUCGGUGCCGGAGCUAACGCAUUAAGCACUCCGCCUGGGGAGUACGUUCGCAAGAAUGAA